AAUACAACUUUAGACAAUGGAUCUCUUGGCUCUCGCAUCGAUGAAGAACGUAGCGAAUUGCGAUAAUUAUUGUGAAUUGCAGAUUUAGUGAAUCAUCGAAUCUUUGAACCGCAUAUUGCACCCUCUGGUAUUCCGGGGGGUAUGCUUGUUUGAAGAACC
rnacentral:rRNA from 1 species